rnacentral:misc_RNA from 1 species
AUUGGCAAUCGUCCCACGUGGGCUGCUGU